rnacentral:rRNA from 1 species
GAUGAACGCUGGCGGCGUGCCUAAUACAUGCAAGUCGAGCGAACGGACGAGAAGCUUGCUUCUCUGAUGUUAGCGGCGGACGGGUGAGUAACACGUGGAUAACCUACCUAUAAGACUGGGAUAACUUCGGGAAACCGUAGCUAAUACCGGAUAAUAUUUUGAACCGCAUGGUUCAAUAGUGAAAUACGGUCUUGCUGUCACUUAUCGAUGGAUCCGCGCUGCAUUAGCUAGUUGGUAAGGUAACGGCUUACCAAGGCAACGAUGCAUAGCCGACCUGAGAGGGUGAUCGGCCACACGGGAACUGAGACAAGGUCCAGACUCCUAAGGGAGGCAGCAGUAGGGAAUCUUCCGCAAUGGGCGAAAGCAUGACGGAGCAACGCCGCGUGAGUGAUGAAGGUCUUCGGAUCGUAAAACUCUGUUAUUAGGGAAGAACAUAUGUGUAAGUAACUGUGCACAUCUUGACGGUACCUAAUCAGAAAGCCACGGCUAACUACGUG